CACCGUCUUGGUCCUAAACAUAACGUUACUUAUAGCUGAUCUUAUACAUGCAAGUAUCCGCAGCCCAGUGCAUAUAGCCAACCUACCAAGUGAGCAGAUAUCAGGCACACACCUGUAGCCCACAACAUCUAGCUACGCCACACCCCCACGGAACACAGCAGUAAUAAACAUUAAGCCAUGAGCCUAAAGACCCCUCAAGCUCGACUUAGAUACAACUACUUCCCGGCCGGUAAACUCCGUGCCAGCCACCGCGGUUAUACGAAGGGCCUUAAAUAACCCCCCACGGCGUAAAACGUGACUAGAAGCGAAUUUUAAAUGCGGGUAUACAACCUGGAUAUAGUCGUAAAACGCACACAUCAAAAGGAACCCUCUCCUCCCCCAUUAACAAAUCACCUUUGACCACACGAAAUCUGUGAAACAAACCAGGAUUAGAUACCCUAUUAUGCCCAGACAUAAACCCAGGCAGUCAGCCUUACUUUUUCUGCCCGCCAGAGAAUUACACGCACCCUAAGCGUAAAACUCAAAGGACUUGACGGUGUCCCACACCGACCUAGAGGAGCCUGUCCUAUAAUCGAUAAUCCACGCUACACCUUACCCCCCAUUGCAAAAACGCUGUUUUCAACCUAUAUACCGCCGUCGCCAGCUUACCUUAUGAAAGCCAAACAAGUAAGCAAAAUAACUCAUCGCUAAAACGUCAGGUCAAGGUGUAGUUAAUUGGGGGGCAGUGAUGGGCUACAUUUUCUACUAGAGAAACCCUCAGCAGUAUGAAAUAGUGCUAUAAGACGGAUUUAGCAGUAAACCUGGGCAAGAACUGCCCAAUUGAAGACCGCCCUGAGACGCGUACACACCGCCCGUCACCCUCCUCAACAAACCAAAACUUAAAUAAUUAAACCCCUAUUUACUUUUCAGAUGAGGCAAGUCGUAACAUGGUAAGUGUACUGGAAAGUGCACUUGGCAAAAA
rnacentral:ncRNA from 1 species